AUUGAACGCUGGCGGCAGGCCUAACACAUGCAAGUCGAGCGGAAGAAGGGUGCUUGCUCGUGGAUUCAGCGGCGGAGGGGUGAGUAAUGCCGAGGAAUCUGCCUGGUAGUGGGGGAUAAGGGCAGGAAACGGGCGCUAAUACGGCAUACGUGCUGAGGGAGAAAGGGGGGAAGCUUGGGACCUCAGGACAUCAGAUGAGUGAAUGUCGGAUUAGCUAGUUGGUGGGGUAAAGGGCUACCAAGGCGACGAUCCGUAACUGGUCUGAGAGGAUGAUCAGUCACACUGGAACUGAGACACGGUCCAGACUCCUACGGGAGGCAGCAGUGGGGAAUAUUGGACAAUGGGCGAAAGCCUGAUCCAGACAUGCCGCGUGUGUGAAGAAGGUCUUCGGAUUGUAAAGCACUUUUAGUUGGGAAGAAGGGCAGUAAGUUAAUACCUCGCUGUUUUGACGUUACCAACAGAAUAAGCACCGGCUAACUUCGUG
rnacentral:rRNA from 1 species